rnacentral:rRNA from 1 species
UCAGUAACACGUAGUCAACCUAACUCGUGGACGUGGAUAAUCUCGGGAAACUGAGGAUAAACCACGAUAGAUAACGGUGCCUGGAAUGGCCCAUUGUCAAAACAGUUUACUGCCACGGGAUGGGACUGCGGCCUAUCAGCUUGUUGGUGAGGUAAUGGCCCACCAAGGCUAUAACAGGUACGGGCUCUGAGAGGAGAAGCCCGGAGAUGGGUACUGAGACACGGACCCAGGCCCUAUGGGGCGCAGCAGGCGAGAAACCUUAGCAAUGUGCGAAAGCACGACUGGGUCAGUCCGAGUGAUUUCUGAUAAAGGAGUCUUUUGCCCGUCCUAAAAGCACGGGUGAAUAAGGGGUGGGCAAGUCUGGUGCCA